rnacentral:rRNA from 1 species
AUACGUAGGGGGCGAGCGUUGUCCGGAAUGAUUGGGCGUAAAGGGCGCGUAGGCGGCGCGGUAAGUCUGGAGUGAAAGUCCUGCUUUCAAGGUGGGAAUUGCUUUGGAUACUGCCGCGCUUGAGUGCGGGAGAGGUUAUCGGAAUUCCCGGUGUAGCGGUGAAAUGCGUAGAGAUCGGGAGGAACACCAGUGGCGAAGGCGGGUAACUGGACUGCAACUGACGCUGAGGCGCGAAAGUGUGGGGAGCAAACAGGAUUAGAUACCCUGGUAGUCCACACUGUAAACGAUGAAUGCUAGGUGUAAGAGGUAUCGACCCCUUUUGUGCCGGAGUCAACACAAUAAGCAUUCCGCCUGGGGAGUACGGCCGCAAGGUUGAAACUCAAAUGAAUUGACGGGG